CCCGGUGAUCUAGCCAUGGGCAGGUUGAAGGUUGGGUAACACUAACUGGAGGACCGAACCGACUAAUGUUGAAAAAUUAGCGGAUGACUUGUGGCUGGGGGGGAAAGGCCAAUCAAACCGGGAGAUAGCUGGUUCUCCCCGAAAGCUAUUUAGGUAGCGCCUCGUGAAUUCAUCUCCGGGGGUAGAGCACUGUUUCGGCAAGGGGGUCAUCCCGACUUACCAACCCGAUGCAAACUACGAAUACCGGAGAAUGUUAUCACGGGAGACACACGGCGGGUGCUAACGUCCGUCGUGAAGAGGGAAACAACCCAGACCGCCAGCUAAGGUCCCAAAGUCAUGGUUAAGUGGGAAACGAUGUGGGAAGGCCCAGACAGCCAGGAUGUUGGCUUAGAAGCAGCCAUCAUUUAAAGAAAGCGUAAUAGCUCACUGGUCGAGUCGGCCUGCGCGGAAGAUGUAACG
rnacentral:rRNA from 1 species